rnacentral:ncRNA from 1 species
CGAAACGCGAGGAACGGGAAAAUAGCGGUCAAAUGUUCCGUCAGAGAGUGUCUGUCACCGGCUGAGAGCAGACGCGGGAGCACAUCGCUUAGUUCGCCCGGGAGCGGCCAUGAGGAAAUACAUGGACGGCGUGGCUGCCGUUAAAGAGGCUUUAAGCGCGCGUAGAAAUACGCGAAUCGUGGGUGGUACCGCGGAGGGUUUGCCUUUCGUCCCCGUU